rnacentral:rRNA from 1 species
UACAGAGGUCCCAAGCGUUGUUCGGAUUCACUGGGCGUAAAGGGUGCGUAGGCGGUCGGGUAAGUCUGAUGUGAAAACUCCAGGCUCAACUUGGAGAUUGCAUCAGAAACUGCCGUGCUAGAGUGUGGGAGAGGAGAGUGGAAUUCCUGGUGUAGCGGUGAAAUGCGUAGAUAUCAGGAGGAACACCGGUGGCGAAGGCGGCUCUCUGGACCACAACUGACGCUGAGGCGCGAAAGCCAGGGGAGCAAACAGG